rnacentral:lncRNA from 1 species
GUGCCUAUUAACCUUUUAUCCACUGCACUACCUGUACUGUCCGCCAGGUGACACCAACACAACGCCAUUUAAAUGUGUUCCAGGUGUUCCCUGUUGCGUCAGUGUGUACAGCAGCACCAGCAGCUCUCAAUAAUAAUAACGAAAAAGAGAACGGAUUACCAUGGAACCUGGUAUUCUGGGGAUUUGUUUCUAAAGAAGUGAGGACAGAAGAGAAGGUGUGUGUGUGUAUGAGAUCGAAUUCUUCAAGCACUAGUAUAACUAGUAAUCUUCACCUUUAAGUACAUGCUUUGAAUCAGUCAAUCUGUGUACAGUAUGUGUUAUGUAAUAUUUAUAAAUUAAUUUUUAGGAAAUUAAGAUAUUAUUGAGUUGCAUGAAAAAAAUUUAGAUUUCCAUACUGGAUCCUAUUUUUGAUUCAAAGCUACUUACAGUUACUAGUGUUACAAGGCGAAUAUAAAUGUUAAAAUCAAAUGGUGUUAUAGAAUUAUAAUAAUAAACACAUUUCUAUGUUCUCCAAAAAUUCCAAAAUACGCUGAAGAAUUCACAGUUUGGGAAAUUGUUUUUAAAAUGAGGCAGUUUAAAUAAAGCAGCAUUAACUUCCUUAUAAUUGAUUAUUUAACUUAUGACAUUGAAUUUU